rnacentral:misc_RNA from 1 species
AACGCACCUUGCGCCCUCUGGCUAUUCCAGAGGGCAUGCCUGUUUGAGUAUCAUGAACACCUCAACUCUCAUGGUUUUACCGUGAUGAGCUUGGACUUUGGGGGUCUUGCCGGCCUGCGGUCGGCUCCUCUCAAAUGAAUCAGCUUGCCAGUGUUUGGUGGCAUCACGGGUGUGAUAACUAUCUACGCUUGUGGUUUUCCACCAGGUAACCUUCAGCAAUGAAGGUUCGCUGGAGCUCAUAAAUGUCUCUCCUCAGCGAGGACAGCUUCUUGAACGUUUGAUCUCAAAUCAGGUAGGGCUACCCGCUGAACUUAA